GGUGGAUGUAGCUGCCAGAGUCUGCUCAGUCUAAUCCACAUUGCCCUCUGAUCUUAGUGUUGCUGUUUGUUGCUACAGUGCACAUUUCCUUUUCUCACCUGGAUGAGAGUCAUGUAGUGUCCUUCACCCUACAGCUUUUCUUCGUGCCUGUUCCAGCUUCCUUCUCAUCUCUGUUUGGCUGCACCUGUGUGUGCUGUUUUGUAGUGACCCUUAAGAAGAGUUCCUUGUCUCAGAAGGUGGAUGUGUGUACAUGCUCACACAUGCUCAUCUACACAGAUUUCUGAUGUGCUGAGGAGAUGAAGCUGUCACAUCCUCAUCUUCAUAGUGUCAACUGAUCAGUCAAUUCCAAGUGAAUAGAGGAAGGUCACCGGAAGACAUAAAAUUCUUGUAAAUGCCAAGAACAUGGAUUACUGAGGAUAUGCUCUCUGUAGAAAAAUCUAUGUGGAAUAGAUUGCUCUUACAAAUAUCCCCACUGCAGCCAGCACAACCAAUGGAGUCUGUACUUUGAUCAUUAAGGCACCCAAGCUGCAAAACAAAACAAGCUUCAUGUUCAGUAACUCCAUGUACCAACAAGGAUUCUCUAUGGAUUCACCAAAUAAUGGCCGUUUUGAAAAUACGGGCAUCUCACCUAUUCUCUCUCUGUUGCAGCAGCAUUGGAAAAUCCAGGAGGUGGAAUGCUCAAACAACAGAUGUGCAGACCAAAAGCAGUGAAAUUUACAGCUCUGAUUCUGAUGGCUGAAAGAAAACCAACACUGACCUUCAAGAGUUUAGGGUAUAAAUAAAGAGUUUUAGAAUUAUGCA
rnacentral:lncRNA from 1 species